AAGGCCCAGACAGCCAGGAUGUUGGCUUAGAAGCAGCCAUCAUUUAAAGAAAGCGUAAUAGCUCACUGGUCGAGUCGGCCUGCGCGGAAGAUGUAACGGGGCUAAACCAUGCACCGAAGCUGCGGCAGCGACGCUUAUGCGUUGUUGGGUAGGGGAGCGUUCUGUAAGCCUGCGAAGGUGUACUGUGAGGUAUGCUGGAGGUAUCAGAAGUGCGAAUGCUGACAUAAGUAACGAUAAAGCGGGUGAAAAGCCCGCUCGCCGGAAGACCAAGGGUUCCUGUCCAACGUUAAUCGGGGCAGGGUGAGUCGACCCCUAAGGCGAGGCCGAAAGGCGUAGUCGAUGGGAAACAGGUUAAUAUUCCUGUACUUGGUGUUACUGCGAAGGGGGGACGGAGAAGGCUAUGUUGGCCGGGCGACGGUUGUCCCGGUUUAAGCGUGUAGGCUGGUUUUCCAGGCAAAUCCGGAAAAUCAAGGCUGAGGCGUGAUGACGAGGCACUACGGUGCUGAAGCAACAAAUGCCCUGCUUCCAGGAAAAGCCUCUAAGCAUCAGGUAACAUCAAAUCGUACCCCAAACCGACACAGGUGGUCAGGUAGAGAAUACCAAGGCGCUUGAGAGAACUCGGGUGAAGGAACUAGGCAAAAUGGUGCCGUAACU
rnacentral:rRNA from 1 species